rnacentral:lncRNA from 1 species
UAUAAUUUGGUUCCUUAAUUAUGAUUUAACAAAGGAGAACCCAGCACUGUCAGUUUAAAGCCCUGGACAGCGUCUUAAGAAAGUCUGGUCAAUGAAACGUUGAAAGGCGUCCAACUGUCCCUAAAAAUAGCAAGUAUGGAUCCUGAAACCAUCGCCUUCUGUUUCCUUCCACUCUCAGUGCCGCAAAGGAGUGCAACCCGUCAGGUGAUAAACACCGUCUGAUGUCGCUUCUGUCAGCUCCAAGUUAGCAGAGACAAAGAAAACCAGUAUUUCAAAGGGAAACCUUUGUGGUUCAAUUGGUGUUGAAAGCGCACAAAGUGAUCAGCAGAAUACUGGAGAAUUUGACUGCGUUUGUGGAAGACUGAACGAGGGCAAUUCAUCGGUCUUAUGUCUCUCUUCAUCGAUUAAACAGAGCUCUUAUCUCAUCACCUGGCACCUUUGUUUUGGAUUUGUCAAGGAUUUCCUAAAUCGAGAGUGGGUAUACACGACGGGUUUUAAUCCAAAUCGGGAUCUAUACAUCCAAACUGGGAUCUAUGAGCGGAAAAGUGGCUAAGCCUAAAGAAGAAAAGGAUGCUUCAAAGGAAUGACGUGUUGGUGGAUCUCUGUUUGGAGUUUAAUGACUGGCGACCUUCUUUAAAGAAAAGACCACACCACAGGACACCGCCUGACACCACUGGAGCUCCUCAUUAACUUACAACCAGCUCAACACACACACACACACACACACACGUGCGCUUAUAUCCACAAUAUAUUCCAUAUAUUUAACAAAUCCACAUACACUUACCUGUACCAUCAAUAUAAACAUUUCAUAUAUUUAAGAAGCUAUUCUAUAUUAAACUUUAGUAGUAUUACCU